rnacentral:tRNA from 1 species
GCUAGCGUAGCUUAACUAGAGCAUAAUUCUGAAGCAGUUAUGGUGGAUCUUGAAAUGGUCCCGCAGGCA